rnacentral:rRNA from 1 species
AACGAACGCUGGCGGCAUGCCUAACACAUGCAAGUCGAACGAGACCUUCGGGUCUAGUGGCGCACGGGUGCGUAACGCGUGGGAACCUGCCCUUAGGUUCGGAAUAACUCCCCGAAAGGGGUGCUAAUACCGGAUAAUGUCUUCGGACCAAAGAUUUAUCGCCUUUGGAUGGGCCCGCGUUGGAUUAGCUAGUUGGUAGGGUAAAAGCCUACCAAGGCGACGAUCCAUAGCUGGUCUGAGAGGAUGACCAGCCACACUGGGACUGAGACACGGCCCAGACUCCGACGGGAGGCAGCAGUGGGGAAUAUUGGACAAUGGGCGAAAGCCUGAUCCAGCAAUGCCGCGUGAGUGAUGAAGGCCUUAGGGUUGUAAAGCUCUUUUACCCGGGAUGAUAAUGACAGUACCGGGAGAAUAAGCUCCGGCUAACUCCGUG